rnacentral:lncRNA from 1 species
AUUUACACACCUGUAAUGGAACGCUUUUGAAUGAUGCUCUUUUUAUAACUCUAAAGCAACACGUUAUAAGGGUACUCAAAAAAUUUACACCAAAAAUUUUCGCUAAAAUUUUCAUUUUAUCCAAUAAAAAUUGCCCGCUAAAUUUUAACAACUUUCCCACUAAAAAUUAAAACCUCAAGAAAAGACUCAUCACUCGCUCUCACUAAUGCCACUACCCCCUUUUCUCUCAGACACGAGAGUGGAAUGUAUUCCGACGAUGACUCCGAUGUGGACUACCAUGACGACAUGUUGUCAUCGACGUUGGCUAUUGUUGCGGCUAUGGCAUGCUUCAACGUAUUCGAUGGAGCUCAUGUUAGAUUUGCAGUGGCUUUACCUUGAGCAAUUCGACCUCUUUCACCGUAAGAAACAUUACCGUCUUCGAUUUUGAUUAUGAUACUUCGUAUCUCCUUACUCCUUUCCUGAUUUGGAUCCAUAAUCUCAAAAAAAUCCAAUCCCUAAAUCUUUGCUUGUUUUUGUUUCCAAUCUUCAUUUUGUUCUCAGAUCUAUAUUUCAAUAAUUGUUUUAUGUAUUCAUUUAGUGUUCAUUCGUAGAUCUCUCGGGUGUUGAAGUAGUCUCUAUAUAUUUCGAUAUUUAGAUCUGGAAUUUUGGAGUUUUGAGUUGUAGAGGUAGCUUAAAAUCAUUGCUUAAUUCAAUUUGAAGGAUGGUUUCGGGAAUUGGUGUGAAAUUUGAAGGUUUUUCAAAUUAAGACUUUUUACAAUUUGUUCCCGACGAUUAGGCACAUGUAAUUCUUGCGAAGCCUCCAAUUCAUAAUUGUUUCGUGGAGUUUAGACAAUUUUUAUACAAUUUGAUAGGAUUGCUGUUGUGAGUGUGGACUUGGUGGUAGGCUUGAUUUUUGUGGGUUAUUUGGGGAGGAGGAUAAGGCAAGGUGAGAUUUGUUUCUUUCUUGCAUAAACCUCUUAACUUAUCUUGCAACCCCUGAAACUUGUAAAACAUAGCAAUUGUGGUUGCGUCUUGCAUUGUUGUACUUGCACGCUUCUCUUUACUUCAGACAUAGGCCAAAAAAACACUUACAAUAACUUAAUUCUAGACAAUUCAUUCUUUUAAAAACUCAAAGGACUGUCAAAGAACUAUAAAUGCAUAGCGUAUAGGUAUUCAUGCUGAACAUAAAAUAUUUUCUUGUAUUUAAUUAUGCAUUUUGUGUUUUGCCAUAGUUUCUCACCUUGAAUAUUAAUGUUUGCAAUGCAAUUAGAAGGUGCAUCUAUCUUCACAUGAUGAUGUUUAUGCCAAGAUAUCAGGCUACUGAAGAUGACAUUACUGAUGUUUUAGUUUGAUAAUAACAUAUUCUAUUAAUCUUUCCAACUCAUUCACAAGGAAAGAGUAAAAAGGGAGAUCUGUGUAUUUUGUAAAAUUAUUUGUAAUGUUAUCUCAUUGUGUCUAAGACCAGUUAUUGAACUUUAUCUAAUUGUGCUCAGAAAAAUGAAGCAUGUGUCCGGGAAGUGGCUAGAAUCCAAAUACAUGUGUUAAAAGUACAGGUACUUUAUACCUCUUCUUUCUUUUAUUUUUUCAUAAGUUUUUUUUUUUCAAUUGUGUUUGCUUUCGUUCUAUUUCAUUUUAAAACAUUUAUGCAUCUGAUGUGUUCGUGUGGUUCAUUUUUUCUAUGACUUCAGGAAACACGACAUAGGCAACAUUAUUUGGAUUUGAUGCUCAAAUUACAUGUAAUAUUUAAGAGCGUACAAAGAUCUUAACUUAUAUCAGAAGCGUUCUUAUUAAUCUUGACUUCAUAGGGAUUGAAAUUUUAUGGAGCUGUUUUAUUUUUCCUUUUACAUAUUUGAUAUUAUUAGAGCUCUAUUAGUAGCUUGUCUUGAAUAAAACUAAUUGAAAUAUACAAAUCCUACUUGUAAGUGUUAGAGAGCAGAUUAAGAAUUUGUAGCCAUUUAUUUUCUCUCGGUAUUUUUAUUAUUUAAGAUGUUGCACUAAAUAUUUAAUGUGAAGAAGCGUCAUUUUAUUUUACAUGUGAUAGAUAGUGAGCAUUCAAUUGUAGAUAAACUUUCAACCUAGAGUUUUCAUCACUAUAAGAGUACUCCCAGCUGGCAAAAGAGAACUCAAACAUAUCAAAUUCAGGUGAGCUUCAUUUCACCAGUUAUAUCAAAUUAGAGAGCUAAAAUAGGUAUAUUUUCUUGCAUUUGUGCUAUUGGGGGGAUAGGCCUACUAGCGAAGUCUAGCUGUGCAGGUGGAGCUCUAAGAAUACUGUCAAAAUAAUUGCCUCAAUGUUAUCAUUGGAAUUGCACCACCAUCCAUUUUGAUAUUAAGUGCUAGCAUUCCAGUAAAGCUUUCAUCAUUUUNAUNNNNNNNNNNNNNNAUCAUUUUAAUCUGUUUAUAUGUAUUUCAAAAAUUAUGUUUAGUUACUUGCCCAUUUUUAUAAUGCUCUGAUAGUAAGAAGAAAAACAUCAAGAGAGAACAUGUCUUAUAUGCCAUGUGAACUUGAAUUUUUCAUGUACCUUCUCAAAAAAGUUCAAGUUCAAUAGAAAUUUUUUGAAGCUUUAACGUGAAUGUUUGUUUGUUCUCUAAAAUCAAUUGUUCUAAAUUUCAGUUUCCACUUCAAAUACCUCAAUCCAUUAUGAUAUUGCAUACUAUCUAUUGGUUUCUUUCUAAUUUUAAAUUUUAUUUUUAAUGUGUAGGAAAAUACGGGUGAUGCAAUUGAAAAUGGCGGCCAAAAGUUAAUUGAUCUAUUGAAGUGAAUGAUAAAGACUUUUUGAGCAAUUGUAAUAUUUAUUAUUAUGAUACUUUAUGAAUACAUUCGGUUUUAGAGUUUGUUGUUAUUGCACAUACUGAAAUAUUGUUUUAUCAGUAUGUGUAGAAUACAAAAUAUGUUUCUUUUUUGAAGUUUAUUGCAAGUAUAUGCAUUAAAAUUAUUAUUAUUUAUUAUUUAAUUGAGUGCUUGAGAUCAUUAAAA